rnacentral:lncRNA from 1 species
AUUUGGUGGAGUUGGCUGAGUUUGGUGGAAUUGGUGGAGUUUGUGGUUUCCUUUACCAUUUUGUUGUAUCUAGCGAGCUGUGUGUGGAUUUUGUGUUUGAUUCGUUUGUGUGUAAGCUUGUGUGUGUGUCUAGAUCAGUGUGUGUUUGGGAGAAGCAUUACUUGUGUGUGUGAGUUGUGUUUUAAGUUUACUUGCAUGUGAGUACCUUUGUGUGUGUGUAGGUAGACCCAGGGGUUACUGUAAGUGCACCUGUGUGUUUGUGCGCGAGUAUGUGAGAGUGUGUGUGUGUGGGCACAAGAGUGUGUAUAGGUGCACAUGUAGUAGGUGUGAGAACAUCUGUUGUGUUGAGGCCGUCAGUCAGCUUGGCCAUUGUUUCUAAGUGGGAGAAUAGCACCUAGACCUGCAGAGACUUGAUGUACCAUUGUGGAGGGAUGUGAGGAGCCGCCCUUGCAAUCGCCAUUACAAGAUGGCGCUGACAUCCGGUGUUCUAACUGUUAAACAAGUAGUCUGCACAUGUGCUGGGGUAUUUUUCCAUUCCUUGUGCCCUGCCUGUUCCGUGGCAUCAUCUGGGCUGAUGGUGAGCAACCAGUCAGUGUGAAAAAUGUCUCCAACCGCUCUUGUGGUCUAUUUAAGGACUGAGUUUCCUGUGUUCUGGGUCUCCUCCCCAGAAGCUGAUCAUGUUUCUCUCGAGAUGCAUUAAAGCUUUGCUGCAGAAGGAUCCGAGUGUGUCCUGUGUGUGUGUCCUCGAUGGAGAGACUCCUUAUCACACAGGGUCAUCUGGUGCUGAAAUCCUGGGAAUUCUACAACAUUGCCAGCACUGAGGAGACCCCCCCCCAGAAAUGGGGCGGAUCCAGAACUGCAGUGGAAGGUAAGUUUGGAGAGAUAUGUCUGACCGUGAGCCUGUUGUUCCCUUUGACUUUGGUCUCAAUCUAGAAGCAC